GGUAAUGAGUGCCAUCGAACAUAUUCGGCAGCGAACAUGUUCGUUCGGAAAAAUGAUCCAAAUCUUCGUGCGCAAUCCUGAAACUAAACGAUUGAAAUAUAUGGCUGGCCUGAAAAUAUCGGUACACUCAAAAUAAUCGACACGUUAAUGCUACGUGAAACAUCAUAUAACUUCAAGAAUAUGCUUUUUCACUUCAGUUUAUCUGACAAAGGUAACAAUCGCCGGAUUCUUAAUGAAUAUGAAAUGAAGCGCACAUUACUUUCAUUGCAGUUGUCCCAUCUCUUUUAUGUGAAUGUCACGUUCUCGCUUAAAUUCAUUUUGACAACCAAGUUCUGUGUUCAUUCUGUGAUGUAUGAAAGGAAGAUGGCGUCUAUUCAAAAUAACCUGGAAGAGCUGCUCUCAGAUUUAACUUCUAUAACGCAACAUGUAUUGGGAUAUUUGAUGAAUCAACUUGAGUGAGCAGAUACGGAUUAGCCUUGGAAAUAUUCGGUGCCAGCUUGGUAAAAUUUACAAUCAAAAAACAAACAAACGAAAACGUUCCGGAAUUCAUAUUUCACUUCUUGCAAUCAGUAAUCAGCCUUCGGAUAGUAAACUGUUUUGUUAACAAUGAUCCGUAGACGUCAAGGAUGCAAGAGGAGAAAAUUGAACAUAGAGUGGUAGAUGAAAAAAUUACGGACACUCCGCUUGAAAUGAGGUACGGAUGCUGAUCAGGGAUGCUAUGGCAUAAAUCUGAGUCGGAG